rnacentral:rRNA from 1 species
AUUGAACGCUGGCGGUAUGCUUAACACAUGCAAGUCGAACGGCAGCAUGGUCUAGCUUGCUAGACUGAUGGCGAGUGGCGGACGGGUGAGUAACGCGUAGGAAUAUGCCUUGAAGAGUGGGACAACUUGGGGAAACUCAAGCUAAUACCGCAUGUACUCGAGAGAGUAAAGCUGGGGACCUUUAGGCCUGGCGCUUUAAGAUUAGCCCGCGUCCGACUAGCUAGUUGGUAGGGUAAAGGCCUACCAAGGCGACGAUCGGUAGCUGGUCUGAGAGGAUGAGCAGCCACACUGGAACUGAGAGACGGUCCAGACUCCUACGGGAGGAAGCAGUGGGGAAUAUUGGACAAUGGGGGGAACCCUGAUCCAGCAAUGCCGCGUGUGUGAAGAAGGCCUGAGGGUUGUAAAGCACUUUCAGUGGGGAGGAGGUUUGGAAGGUUAAGAGCUAUUCAAAUGGACGUUACCCACUGAAGAAGCACCGGCUAACUCCGUGCCAGCCGCCGCAGUAA